rnacentral:tRNA from 1 species
GUUGUAGCUCAGUGGUUGAGUGCUUGCUUCACAUGCAUGAGGCACUGGGUUUGAUCCUUAGCACAACA